CUUUUACAGUGGUGUAAAAUUCAUUUUUCCAUCAAUAUAUUUCUCCAUUUUCUCCAUUAUUCUCUCUGCCAGUCUCCAAGCUGUGUGUUCAGCUGCAGUGUUAAAGUCAUUAACCCUCAGUAGCCCACAGAGCUCCUCUAAAGGACAGCAGAGUCCCACCUGAUCAUCAUGAAGCUCCUGCUGAUCCUUCAGUAUAAAGAUACACUUGAUCAAAGCUGAGGAGAAAACUCCCACCAUUUAGCUUCAUUAUUAGAAUUCCUUCAUUUAGAGGAGGAGUUUUAUACUAAACUCUGCUGCAGUGCUGUAAUAAAUUACAGUAGAUGAUGUAGAGAAGAUAUUUCCAUAGAUAGAAGACACGCUGCACUGAGCGCUCCAUGCUUCAGUGCUCUGGGAGUGUUUAUAGUCCUGUGAGUUUAACACUUCAUGACUGAGAGCUGCUACAGCAACUUCUUCACCCACAGCAGCCAUGACUUUAAUCCCCAUCUUCAUCUGGACCCUGAUCUUCUGCUCUCAAGAGUCCAUAGGUCAGGUGACUGUGACUCAGAGUCCUGCAGUGAAAUCUGCUCUUCCAGGAGACACCGUCACCAUCAGCUGUAGGACCAGUCCUGCUGUUUUGUACUACAGCUGGGCUGGUCACUACUUACACUGGUAUCAGCAGAAACCUGGAGAAGCUCCUAAACUCAUGAUUAUAUUUGCGAAUCAGCUUCAGACUGGUUUUGCAGCUCGUUUCAGUGGUAGUGGAUCUAGAUCUGACUUCACUCUGACCAUCAGUGGAGUCCAGCCUGAAGAUGCUGCAGAUUAUUACUGUCAGAGUUAUCAUGAAAUCAGCAGCACCUCCCUGUUCACACAGUGAUAUAACGCCGUACAAAAACCUCCGUCACUCAGUCCGGCUGCACAGAGACUGCACUG